rnacentral:rRNA from 1 species
CCUACGGGUGGCAGCAGUUAUUAAUAUUUUUCCCUUUUCUCUCUCCUGCCCCCGCCCCGUCGCGUGAAGGAUGACUGCCCUACGGGUUGUAAACUUCUUUUAUAAAGGAAUAAAGUGAGGCACGUGUGCCUUUUUGUAUGUACUUUAUGAAUAAGGAUCGGCUAACUCCGUGCCAGCAGCCGCGGUAAUACGGAGGAUCCGAGCGUUAUCCGGAUUUAUUGGGUUUAAAGGGAGCGUAGAUGGGUUGUUAAGUCAGUUGUGAAAGUUUGCGGCUCAACCGUAAAAUUGCAAUUGAUACUGGCAGUCUUGAGUACAGUUGAGGUAGGCGGAAUUCGUGGUGUAGCGGUGAAAUGCUUAGAUAUCACGAAGAACUCCGAUUGCGAAGGCAGCUUACUAAACUGCCACUGACAUUGAUGCUCGAAAGUGUGGGUAUCAAACAGGAUUAGAUACCCCGGUAGUC